UAGUUUGAUCCUGGCUCAGAACGAACGAAAAAAUUGCGUCUUAAGCAUGCAAGUCGAACGGUAAGGGAGAGCUUGCUUCUCCCCUAGAGUGGCGGACUGGUGAGUAACGCGUGGGUGACCUGCCCUGAAGAUGGGGAUAGCUAGUAGAAAUAUUACAUAAUACCGAAUGUGCUCAUUUACAUAAAGGUAAAUGAGGAAAGGAGCUACGGCUCCGCUUCAGGAUGGGCCCGCGUCCCAUUAGCUAGUUGGUGAGGUAAAGGCCCACCAAGGCAACGAUGGGUAUCCGGCCUGAGAGGGUGAACGGACACAUUGGGACUGAGAUACGGCCCAAACUCCUACGGGAGGCAGCAGCUAAUAAUCUUCCGCAAUGGACGAAAGUCUGACGGAGCGACGCCGUGUGAAUGAAGAAGGCCGAAAGGUUGUAAAAUUCUUUUGCAGAUGAAGAAUAAGAAGAAGAGGGAAUGCUUCUUUGAUGACGGUAGUCAUGCGAAUAAGCCCCGGCUAAUUACGUGCCAGCAGCCGCGGUAACACGUAAGUGGCGAGCGUUGUUCGGAAUUAUUGGGCGUAAAGGG
rnacentral:rRNA from 1 species